UACAGAGGUCUCGAGCGUUAUUCGGAUUCAUUGGGCGUAAAGGGCGCGUAGGCGGCGCGGUAAGUCACUUGUGAAAUCUCUGAGCUUAACUCAGAACGGCCAAGUGAUACUGCAGUGCUAGAGUGUGGAAGGGGCAAUCGGAAUUCUUGGUGUAGCGGUGAAAUGCGUAGAUAUCAAGAGGAACACCUGAGGUGAAGACGGGUUGCUGGGCCAACACUGACGCUGAGGCGCGAAAGCCAGGGGAGCAAACGGG
rnacentral:rRNA from 1 species